UAAUGGCAGAGUACGUCUUAAACUGGCUACCAAGAGGGACACAUGAAUGGUCCAGCUUUCUUACUCCUGAAGAAUUAGUCCUAAUUCUUCAGCGUGCUUCGAUCUCUGUUGAAGAGAUGGCCGGGUUUGUGUAUAACCCACUCACAGGGCGAUGGUCUCUCUCCGAUGAUAUCAGUGUAAAUUUUAUUGCAUUUGGCAGGAAGACGGCUAAUGAGUAACUGUAAUUGUGUUUUUACACAAAUUUUGAUCAAAUUCGUUGUGGUGGUUUUCGUAUUUAGAUGCAAAUUAAAUUCCAACAUGAAAUUGAUCUGGUUCAA